rnacentral:lncRNA from 1 species
AAACUGAAGAGGAUAACAGAGGAUGAAGAAACAAAUAAAACCAAGUUCCUUACCUUCCAUCUGGCAUUUUUGAAAAGUAUUGUUGAGAUAUAUAUCCCACAUCGGGAAUAUGGGACCUUGCCUGUGGGUUAAUAAGGGUUUGGGCCACUCCACCCAUUGCCAAUUGGUUUUGGAUGUGAACCCCAGACUAUUUUAUCAUGGUAUCAGAGCGGGUUACCCACGUCCACGUGUGAAGCCCAAUGGCCACACGAACUCCACGUCACCCAAAUGUUGUCCACGUGUUAAGCUUGAAGAUCCCCACACGUGCGGGGGCGUGUUGAGAUAUAUAAACCACAUCGGGAAUAUGGGACCUUGCCUGUGGGUUAAUAAAGGUUUGGGCCACUCCACCUAUUGCCAAUUGGUUUUGGAUGUGAACCCCAGACUACUUUAUCAAAUAUGCUGUCGGGAUUGAGAAAAUAUCAAAUUGGUCCAACUCUUUCUUUAUGUCUACUAUGGCCUUGGCCAAAUCCU